GGGGCGCACCGGCGCCGCAGUCUCUCUCCGCGGACGCCAUGUGGUCUUCGGUGUUUGCUUCCCGUAGCUGGUCCUGGCGCCGGGGCCUAGCGCAGCGGAGCCGGUGCGAUGCCGAGCCGGAACUGGCCGGACGUCGAGGCGGAGCAGGACCCCACCAAGAGGUCGGAAAUUUAGGGUGGAGGACUGCCAGCAGCCGUGGCCUCCCAUGAGUCCGUCUUAGGGGUGUCCACUUCCUCAAGUUUUGAGAACUGAGUGCUGGAAUGCAGCCUGUGUUGGCAGCCACAGUGAAGGAGAGGAGGCUGUCUCCAGAGGAGUCUCCAGCAGCAGUACCACCACCAACUCUGGAUUGGGAUUCUGAAAGCAGCCUCUUUUAUGAAAACAGUCCAAGCAUGUGUCUGCUGACUCUGUUCUGUCUGGUCAGGCACAUUCGGUGAUCAUCCUGCCCCAUGGGAGCUUUUACACAUCUUAAUAAAAUGUUUGUGCACAAA